rnacentral:lncRNA from 1 species
CAGUGAAGCACAAUCUUCAGAAUGCUCCAAAGCUUCAUGACAUUAAAUUCACUCUGUAGUACAAACAGCCCCAGAAUUCAUGAUCCAGAGUUGUUGCGAUUAUAGUCCUGGCUCACUAGGCCUGGCUACUUUGUUCCUAAAUGUGGGUAGAUAACCAAUGUCUGUGCGGCAUUUGAGAGAAGCUCUAAUGGAAAUCACAGAGCUUGGAAGGAAGGAAAAAGGAAUCCAGAACAGGUCAGAGAACCAGAGACGUCAAACAAACCAACUAUGCUUAGCAGGAGACUGGGAACGAGGCUGAAGCCAUGGCACAAUGUGGAAAGCCAUGAAGGAGAAUCUCCAUAGAGCAAGAAGACACCAGGGCCUUAGACAGCGGUAGCAGAACUGGAGUCAACAGGAAGGCUGGAUAAUAAAAUUAACAUAACAGACUGGCAUUUCACUGUCAAGCAGUGUGGUGUCAUUUUGGCAGUGCCAGGGUGCAGCUUGUGUCAAGAAACAUGUAUGAAUUAGCCCUUGGCCAUUACCAACUAGAGACCCAACCUGAGAGGAUUUAGGACAAGUCUUUCCACACAGAGAGAGGAAUUCACAAAACCUAAACUGGAAAAUCAGUCUCAUUACAAGAGAAACCAGGAAGAACGAUGGGAAAGAAGGUCAGCUCAAAGAGGCCUUCUCCUUCCCAGGCCUGGAGAAAAUUCUGCCUUGACACCCCACGCUCUUUUUUUGCGGCAACUGCCUCCUUCUCUGUCCUGCCGAAGGCCACAGCAGCACGUUUGCAGCGGAAAUAAACUUGCGCACCUCAUAAAAAGAACCAGUAAUGAUGCUCCCAUUUCAUGGGAUAUUACACCAUAAUGAUGAUAAUCCGCCCAUUUACAUCUGAUCUUCCAUAGACUUAGUGAAAUUAGCUUCCGUGCCACCUAGCAGGGGUAAUUUAUGAGAUAAAAAGGAACCAUUGAGAGAUAGGCUUCUUUGUUUGAAAAUUUGGGG